UCCAUUCUAAAAUAAGUGGUGUUUUUAAGUUUGGGACUUUGGGUACAUCUCUUAAGAAAAGUAAUCAUUCCUAAACAAUAAGAUGUAUUUUUUCCCCAGACCCUACUUCGUGAGAUGACAUUGAGUAUAUUGUUGUUGUUGUUGUAUUAAGGGGAUGAUAUGGACCGGUCAAAUUUAGAAAAUAUUCAACUCGAUCGAUCCAGGGUUUGGGUUGGUUACCCGAUUGGUGGGGCUAAGUUUGUCCUACAGGUAGGAAACUCACAAACAUGACAGUUUAGAACAUCAUUAAUAUCUAUAAUCACUUAUUUUGAAACAAAAAAAGUAAUUCUAACAGAAAAAUUGUUUAUAUAGUAAUUACAGCUAACCAUAACAAGUGUAGUCAAUCAAAUUCCCUCCAUUUUUUCCUCCUCACUCAUAUAAAUAGGGACCUCAAUAAUAAAAAAAUAAACCAUCCAUUUCAUUUUCUUUGUCCUAAAACUUUCACUUUCUCCCUUCUCUCUCUUCCCCAAACAACCAUGGCUAAAGACCUCCAAUUCCCAAAAGAUUCCUUGGAAAACCAAUCACCAAACGUGAUCAAUUCUCCUCAAAAUGAAUGCAAAACCCCAAAAUCACCCUCAUUUUGUAUCCCAAAAAACCUCAAAUGUCCAGGUGCACCUAAGAAACCUAAAAGGGUAGUUUCGUCAUCUUGCAAGAGAAGGCUGCGAUUCGUCGAGAUCAUUGCUGAAGAAGAAGUUGAAUCCUUUUUCAGAAUCAUUGAAGCUGUUGUUGACGAUGAAUGUAACAGGAAAAUCAAGAGGUCAAGGUGUAUGUAAAUUCAUAAGGAAAAAAAAAAAUUGUUUUUCAAGAAUCAUCUGGUAUCUGAAAACUCAUAGUCAUCGCGUCUCUAUUAGAAGUCCUCGGAGUUAAUCAAGAAGCGAAGAAAUCUCGUUCAUCCCAGUCGUAUUAGUUAAGCUAGCUAGUUAUUAUCAAAAAGGGUAUAGGUAUCCAGUGGUACUUUUUAUUUUUAGCAUGUCAAAUAUAUGUUGUUAGUUUUUAUGAGUUCAGACUAUUGGAUCUGAAUUCUAGAAUAUUAUGGGUGUAUAUCAAUGAAGCAUCCUGUAUGUCUUUUUUAUUUUAAGGGGGGGUAUACUAGAUUAUCUGUUCUACCAUUUUCAUCUUAAAUGAAAUUUAAUCAAACAGAUAAUUUUAUUUUAUUUGUUCGUUUUUUUACUUUCGUUAUUUCUUUCUUCUAUAUUGUUUUGAGUUGUUUUACUUUUGUAUAAAGCGUUUAUUAAAAUAAUCUUUCAACCUUCAAGGGAGAGAAAAAUUGACGGCGUAUACUUGAUCAUCUGUUCAACCAUUUCAUCUUCAAUGAAUCAUUAAAUGAAACAGUCUUUCAUUCAUUUAUCUGCUUUUUUGCUUUCGUUAUUUCUUUUUUUUUAAUUGUGUUUUACUUUGGGUUGAUCGUUUUAAGACAGUCUUUUCACUUUCAAGAUAGAGAAAAGUUUGUAUAUACUUUUUUUUGUCUUCGCACAUCUCAUUUUAUCAAAUUACGAUAGAGAAAAGUUUGUGUAUAUUUUUUUCUAUCUACGCACAUCUCAUUUUGUGAAGUUACAUUGGAUAUAUUUUUGUAUCGUCUUAAAAAAGUUUUCUGUCUUUUCUCCUUAUUUUUUUUCAUUUGGUUAUCGACUUUCCAUAGAGGUGAACUUAAUAUAUAAAAUUAACACUUUUAGAAUGAAUAUGAUUUUAUUAGAUUCAUGAUAUAUGAGUUAAAUAAUUCAAUUAAAUUUAUAAAAUUUAAUCUAAAUCCGCCUUUAAUUCUAUAAGAAAAAGACGAGAGGAUCAUAAAAAUGGUGGUUUGUUGGGAGGUUGGAGUUGGGAGAAAGUUAGAUGUGCUUUUGUUGGAAGGAAGUAAGCUUAUUAACUUUUUUUUUUUUUUUUUAAAUUUGAUUUAAGUUAUAUGUACUAAUAAAUGAUGAUGAUGAUGUAUGCGUGUAUAUAUGUAUAUAUAUUAUUGAUAAAUUUUUAUCGUAAAUGUAUGUAAAUUCUUAGUUAUGUACGUGGUUUGACAAAUUUCAGUAAAUUUAGUUGAGAUAUGCAUCCGAAUACUUGUUUUUAAUAAUUCUAAAUUGAUUUAUCAUUUAUUGAUUAUGAUUAAAAAAAGGUAUUGUAUUUGUGUUAAGAUGUUCACUUAUGUAGAAACUAAUUCAUAUAACACUUUUUUUUUAGCUCUCUAUAUACUUUAUACAAUUAGAACCUAAUAAAUGGCUUUUAAAAAAAUAAAUAAAUCAUAAACUCAAGAUGUUUUAAUUUGAUUGCGCAUAAGAAAUCUAACUUGUAAUAAUAGACUUUUCAUUAUUUUCACUAAAUUAUUAAUUGUGAAUUUAAACAAAAAUAAUAACAGUAUACAAAGUUAAAUUCUAUUAGUAGCAUAUGGGGAAGAUGAUGUGUACAUAAUCUUAUUCAUACCUUAUGAGGGUAGAAAAAUUAUUUGAUAAAUUCUCGAUUCAAGUAAAUAAUAAUAAAAUAAAAAGAGAAUAAAAUUUAGCUGAGAAUAUCAGUAACGCUAAGAAAUGACAUAAUAAUGAAUUAAAGAAAACAACGGGUCGCAAUAAGUAGUAUAAAAAAGCAAUAAGAGGAAAUAAAAUACUAAUACAAGUAUACAACUAAUAAGGGCAAGUAGAAAGCAUGACUACCUACCAUCCUUUACCCUAACGUCGAUUUAUAUAUCUUUCUAUCUGGCGAAGAUAAUAUCUCGAUAAAUUAUUUCAUUGCAUAUCCUCUAUCCUAACGUCAAUUUAUAUAUCCUUCUAUCUAGCGAGAAUCAUAUCUCGAUAAAUUGUUUAAUUUCAUUAUAUAUUCUCUAUCCUAAUGUCGAUUUAUAUAUACUCAAUUUAUUUAUUUAAAGUAAUGUAAAAUUACCUAAGACCUAAUCUAAUUUUAUACAUUUAUAUAUCAAUAUAUUUUAAACUUCUUUUCUACUAACUUUUGGAUUACUAUUACUAUUAAUAUUUAGUCAGGAAUAAGCUUGCACAACAAACAUGUUUGACACUUUUUUGUGCCUGACACACAGCAUUGGGAUUGAUAAAUUUGUAUUUUUGCUAAUUUUCUCGAAAAUGAAAUAAAUAAAGGAAGAAAAAGGAUCUGUAUUUAUUGAUGUAAACAAAUAUGCACCAUGUGUAUUUGUGAUUAUAUCAUCUAGCUAGGCUUUACAUUCAACGUGGAGUUCUUUUGUCUUUAUUGAGUAUUCGGUUAACAAUAAUUUUUUUUUUAAUAAAGUUAUAAAUAAAUAAAUAAAUAAAUUAUGAAAUCAAAUUCGUAUUCACACCAUAGUAGUGGUAUAUGGUUUUUAUACUCAACUUGUAAAUCGUGUGGCAUAUAGAUGGUUUUGAUCCUUUUAUUUUAGGAGGAACAGUCGUUCAUUAUAUUAAAACACAAACAUUAAUUAUAUAAAUUUAUUUCAUUUUAGCAUCGUUCGCUACGAUAUCUAUGCGAAAAAAAAUUGAGAUGGAAAAUACUGAAACAAUCCUUUUACGUGUAGUAUGGUUGGGUAAUUGCUCUGAUUAUUUUUCUUUUUCUAAAAAAUAACAUUAAAUAAUGACCAAGUGUUCUAACAUUUGUGACUUUAAUUUAGAAAUCUUAAUUUCACCAUUAAAAUGGAGAACAAAACAAACGGAGAAAGAUGAUAGAAAUUGAUAUUAUUUAUAUUUGGAUUAUAAAAUUCUAGUUCUUUCAUUUUCAAAAAUAUAUUAUUCUUUUUGUCCCGAAGUUAUACAAUGCAGUUUAACUAGACAAACUUUAAGAAAAACAUAUUUUAAAAUUUAUAAUCUAAAUAAGUCAUUAAAAAAAAGUGCAUUGUUACCAUUAUCGACCAACGCAUGUCUAAACUUUUUCUUAUUUAUAUUUGAUAUUUAUAUUAGACCAAACAAUCAAAUGUUAGAAAUUCCUACAAAUUAAAGUAAAAGUAUAUAUAUUAGUACUUAACUAUGUAUUAAAUAAUUAUCAAUUAUAUGUUUUGAGAAACAUAAACUUUGUGUUUAUUAAUUUGAUAUGAACAUUAUAUUAUUUUCGAGUACCCCGUAAAACAUAUGUUGGUCAAUGAUGAUUGUGAUUUGUUCAAAUGAUCCACCUAAACACGUUAUACAACCAGUAUUUUCCUUUCAACUCUUUAAUUAUUAAAUUAGACCAUAUACUAAAAUUGUGAAAUUCAGUUAUAGCCAUGGACCAUCGAGAUUGCCUAUUCAAAGCCAUUUAAUGAUGUUUAAAAUAUAAAAUAUAUACACUCAUACAGUUAUCUUUUAUAUGAAGAAAAAUAUAUUCCACGAAAAAUAUUUUUUGAAACUAAAAUAAAUAACUUUUUACUUAUUUUCUGUGUUUAUUAGUACUCAUGUAAACAGAAAUAUGGCGUGUAUUAAAAUGUUUUUUCAAUUUAAUUAAAAAUACUACGCCUUAUUAUGACGUGAGUAAAGUAAGGUCUACGACUCUACAUAUAUUAUAUUCUUCUCAAAUUCUACUUAUGAGAUUUCACUUUCUUAUUACACUGAGGGGAUCAUAUUACUAGGAUAUUAACGAAUACUAGACUGACAGCUAGGAUAAUUAAUAUCAUUAACGCUAAUAAUUUAUACUGGGCCAUAUAUAUUCAAUCUAUAAUAUAAUAAAAAUAUCUCAUUUCUAAUAAUAACUCGACAACUCAAUGAAACGAAACAAAAAUGAUUUUGAUAUCAUAUGAUGACUCUACUAUUUUCUUAAAUAAUUUUAAAACACGUAACGCAGAAUAUUUAGAUACUGUAAGAUAAACUAAAAAAAAUCAUUUACUUUAUUUAAGAUAAUAAAAAGUACCAAUAAAUUAAUAUGAUUUAAUUUCAUUUAUAUGGUCCCAAAGACCCACAUGAGAAUCGUUAUCAGCCACUUGUUAUAAAAAAAAUUAAAUUGACUUAAGAAAAAUUUAGUACCAUGUUAAUUGCAUAUUUAUUGCUUUAUUUAAUGCCAAAGAUUUAAUUAUUUUGGAGUAGAGUUCAAUCUUACGUGCCCGCGUUUAAUAAAAACUAGUCAUGUAAAGUUGAUUGCCUUACACUAAUUAAGAAAAAGCUAAAAUUAAUAUGAAUUCAAGUUAUAUACUCAUCCGUUCCAAACCAUAUGCCAAUCUUUUAUUUACGAAAUUCAAAUUAUGUGAAUUUUGUCAAGUCACAUUGACAUGACAAAAAUUACAAUUUACAGUAUUUAGUGUAUAAUUUUUAAACUAUAGGUAUUUUUAAUUUUAAAAUAUUGAAUAGAUGGAAUUCAAUUCAAUUUCAAAGAUUGAUCAAAUUAACUCCUAAAAUAAAAAUAAAAAAAGAUACUUAUUUUAGGGUAAAAAGAGUACGUUGCUAGUAUACAAGAUAUACACUAUUAGUGUAAUUUAAUCUUUAGAACAAGUCAGUUACACACAUUUAUUUUAGAUUACGAAUUAAUGUGAUUGAAUAGAGUUAUUUAUAAUGAUUUGAUUGUGUAAAUAGCUUUUAUAUAUGAUGUACUUAUAACUUAAAUUAAAUAAAAAGGGAAUAACUUCAAUUAGAGCUUAAACAGUAAGAUACUUAUAAAUGGAAUAAAGAGAAACUGCAAAAGAAAAGAAGAUAUUAGCGUACAAAGCUGGCUUAGAAUAUAUAUACUAAAGUCAGAUGUAGUAAUUAAGAAUAUAAUCUUUAUAUCUUAGUGCAUACUCACUUCACGUGACUAAUUGUAGAAAAAGGAAUACAAGAUAAUUUUAGGGUACAAAUGAAAUAAUAUUUAAUUAACGUUUUUGUUUUUCCUAGUUUUUCAUUUUGAGUUCACUAUAUGAGUUAAAAAAAAAUCUGAUUAAUUUUCUAGGAUUUCUUGCCAUUUAUUAAUAUAGGAGAGAAUUAUUCACUUUGAUUACACAAUUAUUAUUUUUAUUUCUGCAAGUUAACGGCCCGAGUUCAACUGACAAGAUACUGUCCGUUUUGACCCAAUUUUAAGAGCAUUAAGAUCGAUUUUGUCUUCUUGGACUCUGAGUGGUUUUGAAAACGAGGAUUUCAGACUUUCAGUAGACAAACUCACACAAAGGACAGUGAACUCAAAAUAUAUCUCGACAAUUAAAUUCUGAAUUCGUUCCUCUUAUGGCCUCUAACUCUGCCUCUCAUUCUCAUGUGAGAUUUGUCUAAGACGAACUCCACAAUAAAUAAUAAAUUUCUUUCAGAGUUCAAUAGACUAUAUUUCAUACUUCAUAGGUACUUGCAAACCUCCCAUUGUUAAGAUAUUGUCCGCUCUGAACCAAAUUUUAACGCCUAAUAUUUUUGCUCUUUUGGAUUUUAACCUAAAAAAUAGCCACGAUAUCUAAUUGCAUGCAUGUGUUCAUCCUUUUACGAUUUCUAACCCCCCCCCCCCCCCACCCCCCCCCCCCCCACACACUAAUAUCUUUACACAUCUUAAUGUCAUGCGUUAGGCACUAUUCCCUUUUUUUUUUUUUUUUUUUGGUAAUUAUUACGUUAUGUUUAGUGUACACACUUAUAAGCAAUUGGCUCUUAAUUUAACUAAGAUGUAGUGAUAAUACUUACACCAUGAAUAGUAACACUUACUACAUUAAUUCAUAAAUUCGUUUCACGCAUUAAAAUUAAAUUUAAUCAUUAUGAAGUUUGCAAAUAAUCAAAUCCACCAUGAUGAUACAAAAGAAAAUCCAAGUCUAUCCCAUCCACAAAGGUACAUAAAAGCAAUCAAUAAACCAAUGUAUUUUGAAUUUAACAAUAAAAACAUUUAAGUGCUAUGAUUUAUAUAAAUAGUGCAUUAUUUGGUUACAGUUACUAAUCCUUGUCUUCUGAAUAUUAUGCUAUGUUUAUCCUGUUACCUGUUAUGUCCUAUUUACUUCUGUAUUUAUUUUGCUACUACUUUUUACUUAAAAAACUGCUUUGAUAUACGAUACUUAAGUUAAGGGUCUUCCAAAAUAUAUAAUUUUUUUUUUUACCUUUAUCUUUAUAAAAUUUACAUACAAUCUAUCUUUCCAAAACCCUAUCUAUGAGAUUAUAUUGAGUAUCCUAUUUUUAUUGUUAAUUUAUUAAAAUAUUAUAAAAUAAGUAUGACGUUUCUUUUAUUUGUUUAUAUAUACUCAUAAUAAUUAGCAUGUUAGACUAGAGUAACCGUCCAAAAACAGAAGCUUUUCAAGUGGUAGUUGGUGACAAUAGCUUUCUGCAAGACUAUCCAAGAAAAGAAAGUAGAUACCUAUCAAAUAGACUAAAAAAUAAUUAGAAAAGAAAGAUAUAUAGCUUGAUAGACACACAAUACAAAAAAAAAAAAAAAAAGAGCUUAUGUUUAUGCAUAUUCAUCUACUAAGUAUUAAUAUUUUUUUCCAAUAUUGUUAGGUCAUUCAAAGUAUAUCUAUAGUCAAGACGAGAGAUUAGAUAUUGUUUAGGUUACAAGAUUCUAAAUUAUAAAUAGUAACUAUACAUAUUAAAACAAAUACAAAAUUUGGAUCAAAGUCGGACUAACUUAUAUCUUGAUUUCUAGCUCCGCCUCUAAUUUACAAAUAAAACUCCUUAAAAAUAAUGUUAUUACGAAAAAAAAUAUUUACACUGACGAUAUAUAUAAUUUAAAUCUGAAAAAAGAAGAAGAAGGGAGAUAUAGUUAUCAAAUAGAUUUAAGAAGAUAUAGAGCUAUCAAACAGAUGUAUAUAUGCAACGUAUAUUACCAAUAAAAACAUAUACAUGCAACGUAUACCUUACGUGUUAUUUACCCUUUAUUGCCGAAAGUAAAGAAAAUGACAGCAAACAAAACUAUGGAAAGGAAAAGAAAAUUCUCCAGCAGAAAAGUGGGAGAAAAAAAGGAAGAUGAAAUUCAGUUAUAUGUCUUUGUCUUCAGUUACAAGGAAAAUGUAAAAGAUGAAAGUCGCGGAUAUGAGGAUGCCGCGAUAGAUGUGUGGGUAUUUUAGGAGAGACGAUGGGAUUAAAAAUGAGGAUAUACGAGAUAAGGCGGAGUGGUUUCGGGGGAAAACAAGAUGCGGAAAGCGAUGUUGAGAUGGUCUAGAUAUGCUAACGUUGCUUGGACUCUCCAAAAAUGUUGCCGCAUCGUGUUGGAUCGAUCCUUCAAAAAUACAUAAUUUUUGGAGGAUCUGAUGACAUGCACUUGUCGAUAUUUUGAAAGAGUUCAAGCAACACAGUAGAUAUGUGAUGAGGAGAUGCGCGGAUGUCCCGAAGUGUAGAGAAGGGAAAAUGGCUUACAAGGUAAAGGAUAAAGAAAAUUCCCCAUGCAGAAAAGUGGGAGAAAAAAAGGAGCAUAAAAUUCAGUUAUAAGUCACUUAUAUGUCUUUGUCUUCUGUUACAAGUAAAAUGUGUUUGUAACCUUUUUUUCAACUGUUUUUUGUUUUACUAGAUGAGAGAUUUUAUGUAGAAUUUAUUGUUAGAGGAUUUAUCUAGAGAUAGUAAAAUUAAAAGUUAAAUUAUAACUACUACAGAUUAAAAUAUCUGUAUGUAGAAUGUAGAUUGGAUGUAUAGUGAGUUCAGGGGCAGAGCUAGUGUAUAUUGUGGGGGUUCGGACGAAUCCAGUAGUUUUUUCGUAGAUUUUGUAUUUGUAUUAGAAAAUUCAAUAUAUAUAUAUAAAUAAUAAUGUUUGAACCCCCACCAUUUUUACUAUUCUAACUACCUUAACUAACAAGAGAUUUGAUAUAAAACAAUUCCACUUUCUUUUCAUACUAAAGUCACGACACAAAACAUAACUGAACAAUGCGUGAUGCUGUCUCAAUAGUGUUUUGAAUUAGAGCAUAAUGUAGUGGAUAUAAAUUAUAAAAAAAAAUGUUGUUUGUGCAUAUCAUAGUUUUUAUCUAUUUUCUAUUCAUCUGCUCUUCUUUCAUUCUAAAAUUUUACUAAAUAUUAACAUACAGUGUUCAUAUUUUUGACACACAUUUACUGAACAAGUAGAAACAUUUAGAUUCACAGUAUAAUAUAUGAUAAUAAAAGUUCACAUAAUCGGAUAUAAUCAUUAACAUGAAUUUAAACAUCAUUCAGUUUUACUAUAAAAUUCAUAAAGUGGAUGACACAAAUAAAAUAAGAACCUGUUGAUAAUUAAAACAGAAGAUUCGAACAUUGUCACCGAAAACUUGAACAGAAAACUCCAACUUCAGACUUUCAUUUUUUCCUUCUUUGUUUUUCUCCUUACAAGUUUUCUCACUGUAUUUUUUUUUCUCUUUGUUUUAUGAUAAAUUUUUUUCAGUGUUUUUCUAAUGGUAUAGGAAUAGUACGU
rnacentral:lncRNA from 1 species